UACGAAGGGGGCUAGCGUUGCUCGGAAUCACUGGGCGUAAAGCGCACGUAGGCGGCUUCUUAAGUCAGGGGUGAAAUCCUGGAGCUCAACUCCAGAACUGCCUUUGAUACUGAGUAGCUUGAGUCCGGGAGAGGUGAGUGGAACUGCGAGUGUAGAGGUGAAAUUCGUAGAUAUUCGCAAGAACACCAGUGGCGAAGGCGGCUCACUGGCCCGGUACUGACGCUGAGGUGCGAAAGCGUGGGUAGCGAACAGG
rnacentral:rRNA from 1 species